UGGUGUAUAUUCAUAUAUUCAUGUUCACAUACCGUAAAAACAACCGCUUUCAAAAGAAAUCCGUCUGGGCAGAACACGAAUAUAUGAAUAUACCCCCCCCCCCAAUUAUCGGUCUAGCUACGGCCCUGGUCAAGUUGUGUGUUUAUAUGGAACCGAGGUAGCCCAGAUACCAGAGUUCAUUGUACAUAGUGUUGUACUACCAACAACCAAGUACAAUUUCAUCCAUGUUUACUUGAGACUUUUCAGGCAGGUCAGCUCAAAGCACCUGUCUUUAUUGCCAUAUAAGAGCUGUUUACAUUGCCCUCUGAAAAUGUACCGCCGUACGGAACAGAUAAAAUGACAUUCUUACUGAGUGAAUCUACCUGUGCUUGGACAAAGGUUUGAAAUGACUAUAUACCGGAUAUCAUAUCCAGGCUCAGGGCUGCCGAGAUAAUUUGCAGGGCCCUGGGCAAAUCUUCUCUGGGGGCCCGAUGACUAGACCGUAGCUAGACUGCAUGUGGAGCUACUGUAAG